UUAUUGUUUUACUGCCUCAAUGAACUCUGCAAGGAGUAUGAUGUUUUUACGCUGUAACUUGGUACAUGUGACAAUAAUAAACCAAUCUAAUUAACCAAUUACUAGACAGCAACUUGCAGAAGAGGGGUUUAAGUUCUGAAGUGUCUUUGAACUGAAGCAUUAAUUGUAUUUCUGCUAAACAACCUGCUGAAAAUUUCCAGCGCUUAUGAUUUUUAAGUUUAAGGAAAAGUCCUGACAAGAGAAAGGAGGAAAGAAAAAAGUAGAGGUAGAGGCUGAGGAACAGGCCACAAUAGGACCUGAAUCAACACACACAAACUGCUGGAGGAACUCGGCAGGUCAGGCGGCAUCUAUGGAAACGAAUAAGCAGUCAACCUUUUGGGCCGAAACCCUUCUUCGGGACUGAUAGGAGAUGAAUUCUUCAUUCUAAGAUGCGAGAUUGUUUAUUGUCAAAAUGAUUGUAACUCCAGAUCCAAUGCGACAGAAUAAACAACAAGCAUAAGAUCGAUGCAUCCUUGUGUAACUACAGACAUUCCAUGGAUAACAAGAGGACUUACACGUACGCUCUACCACACAUCAUUUCUUCCUGUAAAUGAUCAAAUGCACAAAACUUUAGCUGCUUGAAUGAGCCCAUGUACAAGGAGCAUUGCCACUAUAAAGCAGCAUCGAUCAUCAAGGACCCCCACCAUCCAGGUCAUGCUCUCUUCUCGCUUCUAUCAUCAAACAGGAGGUACAGGAGCCUGAGGUCUCAUGCCACCAGGUUCAGGAACAAUUAUUACCCUCAACCAUCAGGCUCCUGAACCAGCGUAAAUAACUUCACUCAUACCAACACUGAAAUGAUUUCACAACCUAAAGACUCACUUUCAAGGAUUCUACAACUCAUUUUCUCGGUAUUACUUGCUUUAUAUUUACGAGUUAUUUUAGAAAACCUAGCACGCUUAUUUCUCAACAUAGUCCCCUCCU